rnacentral:tRNA from 1 species
GCCCGGAUGGCGGAAUUGGUAGACGCGCACGACUCAAACUCGUGUCCGAAAGGGUGUGGGUUCGAUUCCCACUCCGGGUA